rnacentral:rRNA from 1 species
GAGUUUGAUUAUGGCUCAGAGUGAACGCUGGCGGCGUGCCUAAUACAUGCAAGUCGAACGGAGAUAUGAGGGCUUGCUCUUAUAUCUUAGUGGCGCACGGGUGAGUAAUGUAUAGCUAAUCUGCCCUACACUAGAGGACAACAGUUGGAAACGACUGCUAAUACUCUAUACUCCUUCUUUACAUAAGUUAAGUCGGGAAAGUUUUUCGGUGUAGGAUGAGGCUAUAUCGUAUCAGCUAGUUGGUGAGGUAAUGGCUCACCAAGGCUAUGACGCGUAACUGGUCUGAGAGGAUGAUCAGUCACACUGGAACUGAGACACGGUCCAGACUCCUACGGGAGGCAGCAGUAGGGAAUAUUGCUCAAUGGGGGAAACCCUGAAGCAGCAACGCCGCGUGGAGGAUGACACUUUUCGGAGCGUAAACUCCUUUUCUUGGGAAAGAAUUAUGACG